rnacentral:rRNA from 1 species
CAGCAGCCGCGGGAAUACGUAGGUGGCAAGCGUUGUCCGGAAUUAUUGGGCGUAAAGGGCUCGCAGGCGGUUUCUUAAGUCUGAUGUGAAAGCCCCCGGCUCAACCGGGGAGGGUCAUUGGAAACUGUGAAACUUGAGUGCAGAAGAGGAGAGUGGAAUUCCACGUGUAGCGGUGAAAUGCGUAGAGAUGUGGAGGAACACCAGUGGCGAAGGCGACUCUCUGGUCCGUAACUGACGCUGAGGAGCGAGAGCGUGGGGAGCGAACAGGAUUAGAUACCCGUGUAGUCCCUGUCUCUUAUAC